GAGGGUGUAGCUCAGCUGGUAGAGCAUCGGCCUUUUAAGCCGCUGGUCGUGGGUUCGAAUCCCACCGCCCUCA
rnacentral:tRNA from 1 species